rnacentral:rRNA from 1 species
CCGGCUGGCACCCCACACGUAGCUCCUUCGACGAGUCGAGUUGUUUGGGAAUGCAGCUCUAAAUGGGAGGUAAAUUUCUUUUAAAGCUAAACACCGGCCAGAGACCGAUAGCGCACAAGUAGAGUGAUCGAAAGAUGAAAAGCACUUUGGAAAGAGAGUUAAACAGCACGUGAAAUUGUUGAAAGGGAAGCGCAUGCUACCAGACUUGCCGGCGGCGUUCACCCGGUCUUCUGACCGGGCCACUCGUCGUCGGCAGGCCAGCAUCACUUGGGGCCGCCGCCGAAAGGCGGAGGGAAUGUAGCUCUUCGGAGUGUUAUAGCCCCUCGCACAAUUCGGCGCGCCUCGGGUGAGGUCCGCGCUUCGGCUAGGAUGCUGGCGUAAUGGUCGUAUGCGGCCCGUCUUGAAACACGGACCAAGGAGUCUACCAUCUAUGCGAUUGUUCGGGUGUCAAACCCCUACGCGCAAUGACAGUGAACGGAGGUGGGAACCUUUACCGGUGCACCAUCGACCGAUCCUGAUGUCUUCGGAUGGAUUUGAGUAAGAGCAUAGCUGGUGGGACCCGAAAGCUGGUGAACUAUGCCUGAAUAGGGUGAAGCCAGAGGAAACUCUGGUGGAGGCUCGCAGCUGUUCUGACGUGCAAAUCGAUCGUCAAAUUUGGGUAUAGGGCCGAAAGACUAAUC